AUGACGCUGGCGGCAGGCUUACACCAUGCAGUUCGAGCGGAGCGAAGGUGCUUGCACCUUAGUCUUAGCGGCGGACGGGUGAGUAAUGCUUAGGAAUCUGCCUAUUAGUGGGGGACAACGUUUCGAAAGGAACGCUAAUACCGCAUACGUCCUACGGGAGAAAGCAGGGGAUCUUCGGACCUUGUGCUAAUAGAUGAGCCUAAGUCGGAUUAGCUAGUUGGUGGGGUAAAGGCCUACCAAGGCGACGAUCUGUAGCGGGUCUGAGAGGAUGAUCCGCCACACUGGGACUGAGACACGGCCCAGACUCCUACGGGAGGCAGCAGUGGGGAAUAUUGGACAAUGGGCGCAAGCCUGAUCCAGCCAUGCCGCGUGUGUGAAGAAGGCCUUAUGGUUGUAAAGCACUUUAAGCGAGGAGGAGGAGCUUCAGGUUAAUACCCUGGAUGCUUGGACGUUACUCGCAGAAUAAGCACCGGCUAACUCUGUGCCAGCAGCCGCGGUAAUACAGAGGGUGCAAGCGUUAAUCGGAUUUACUGGGCGUAAAGCGUGCGUAGGCGGCUAAUUAAGUCAAAUGUGAAAUCCCCGAGCUUAACUUGGGAAUUGCAUUCGAUACUGGUUAGCUAGAGUAUGGGAGAGGAUGGUAGAAUUCCAGGUGUAGCGGUGAAAUGCGUAGAGAUCUGGAGGAAUACCGAUGGCGAAGGCAGCCAUCUGGCCUAAUACUGAC
rnacentral:rRNA from 1 species